UACGAGAGGGUGCAAGCGUUGUUCGGAAUUAUUGGGCGUAAAGGGCGCGUAGGCGGUGCGGUAAGUCCUGUAGUGAAAGUCUCUGGGCUCAACUCAGAGUCUGCUGCAGAAACUGCCGUGCUUGAGUGUGGGAGAGGUGAGUGGAAUUCCCGGUGUAGCGGUGAAAUGCGUAGAUAUCUGGAGGAACACCGGUGGCGAAGGGCGGCAUCCAUGGGACCGGAUACUGAACGGCUGGAACGGGAAGCCGAAA
rnacentral:rRNA from 1 species